rnacentral:rRNA from 1 species
GUGAGGAAUAUUGCGCAAUGGAGGCAACUCUGACGCAGCCAUGCCGCGUGCAGGAAGAAGGCGCUACGCGUUGUAAACUGCUUUUAACCGGGAAGAAACCCCAGGACGUGUCCUGGGUUGACGGUACCGGAGGAAUAAGCACCGGCUAACUUCGUGCCAGCAGCCGCGGUAAUACGAAGGGUGCAAGCGUUAUCCGGAUUCAUUGGGUUUAAAGGGUGCGUAGGCGGAGCGUUAAGUCAGUGGUGAAAUCCUGCAGCUUAACUGUAGACUUGCCAUUGAUACUGGUGCUCUUGAGUGCGCUUGAAGUGGGCGGAAUGUGCCGUGUAGCGGUGAAAUGCUUAGAUAUGGCACAGAACACCAAUUGCGAAGGCAGCUCACUAAGGCGAUACUGACGCUGAGGCACGAAAGCGUGGGGAUCGAACAGGAUUAGAAACCCGUGUAGUCC